rnacentral:rRNA from 1 species
GACGAACGCUGGCGGCGUGCUUAACACAUGCAAGUCGAACGGUGAAGCGCCUUCCUUUUUGGUGGGUGGGGAUGAGUGGCGAACGGGUGAGUAACACGUUAGUAACCUUCUCCGUUCUUCUUGAUAACCGCAUGACAGUGUUGCUAAUACGGGAUAUUCUGGGUCUGUUGCAUGAUGGGUCUGGGAAAGUUAUGGUUUCGGUUGGUGAUGGGCUCGCGGCCUAUCAGCUUGUUGGUGGGGUGAUGGCCUACCAAGGCGGCGACGGGUAGCCGGCCUGAGAGGGUGGUCGACGACAACAGUGCGGCGAAGACGCGCAGACUCCUCCGAGAGGCAGCAGCAGUGAGGCAUCUUGAACGGGCGGAGCAAGGACGAUGCAGCGACGCGGGGUGGGGGAAGGUGGUCUUAGCGUUGUACACCUCUUUUGGGAGUGAAGAAGGGCUGAAUUGUUUGUGCGCGGGUUGACGGUAGCUGAACAAGAAGCGACGGCUAACUACGUG